GAUGAACGCUGGCGGCGUGCCUAAUACAUGCAAGUCGAGCGAACAGAUAAGGAGCUUGCUCCUUUGACGUUAGCGGCGGACGGGUGAGUUACACGUGGAUAACCUACCUAUAAGACUGGGAUAACUUCGGGAAACCGGAGCUAAUACCGGAUAACAUAUUGAACCGCAUGGUUCAAUAGUGAAAGGCGGCUUUGCUGUCACUUAUAGAUGGAUCCGCGCCGUAUUAGCUAGUUGGUAAGGUAACGGCUUACCAAGGCAACGAUACGUAGCCGACCUGAGAGGGUGAUCGGCCACACUGGAACUGAGACACGGUCCAGACUCCUACGGGAGGCAGCAGUAGGGAAUCUUCCGCAAUGGGCGAGAGCCUGACGGAGCAACGCCGCGUGAGUGAUGAAGGUCUUCGGAUCGUAAAACUCUGUUAUCAGGGAAGAACAAAUGUGUAAGUAACUGUGCACAUCUUGACGGUACCUGAUCAGAAAGCCACGGCUAACUACGUG
rnacentral:rRNA from 1 species